AUACAAACCUUAAAAAAAUUCUAAUUAUCUACUAGCAAACGCUGAAGGGGAUAUAAUUGAUAAUUUCUGGUAGUGGGGGACUGCGUUCGCGCUCUCCCCUG
rnacentral:snRNA from 10 species